AUUCAAAGGCAUUUAGAGAAGAGAUGUCUGCUAGGGUUUCCUCUCUUUAUCAAUUUCUGCUAGGAUUUUCAAUCUCUGUCUCUCUCUCUUUCUCUUCUCCUACUGCAAAUCUCAAUAUCUUCCUCUUCCCCUCGCUGCCGCCCCGCAACCUGCCCCUGCCGCGCAAGACGAGAAACUGAGAGAGCUUAGAGUUCUUGGAGAGCAUCAACGAGACUGAAUAAAUCUCCUUCCGAAAUAGAUUUCAGGAAAGAUGAAAAGGUAUAGAACUACAGAUUUUAAAAUUUCUCAGUGUUGAACUCUUCAUUUCAACGGAUCCUGCUGUAAGUUUCUUUCACACUGUGGUUCACUUUUUGAUUGGUUAGGACUUAAUUAAAUUGCGUGAAUUAAUUUGAUAGGAUCACAGCUUUUUCCUUUGAUGUGUAAAUAGAUUGUGUUUGUUGUUUGUAUAUUGAAUUAGUAGAUUACUACUAGAGUAGGAAGGGAUUUGAGCUGAUUUAACACGUCUAAGAAUCUUAACAAGUCUUUAUCUUCAAAAUUUUCAUUGAAAAUUGCUAUGGGCUUGUUCUGUAAUCUUUCUGUAAAUCUCUAUAGGAAAAAAUAGAAAAUAAGAGAAGAUUCUAGUGAUUUUGUUUGGAGGGAAAUCUAGACCCUUCUAAUCUGAUAAGUUUGAGUGUGUGCUGUUUAAUGCUGCA